rnacentral:rRNA from 1 species
GACGAACGCUGGCGGCGUGCUUAACACAUGCAAGUCGAACGAUGAAAGUGGAGCUUGCUCCGCUGGAUUAGUGGCGAACGGGUGAGUAACACGUGGGCAACCUGCCCCAGACUCUGGGAUAACUCCUCGAAAGAGGUGCUAAUACCGGAUACGAACUCCUUGGGCAUCCUUGGAGUUGGAAAGUUUUUCGGUCUGGGAUGGGCCCGCGGCCUAUCAGCUUGUUGGUGGGGUAGUGGCCCACCAAGGCGACGACGGGUAGCCGGCCUGAGAGGGCGACCGGCCACACUGGGACUGAGACACGGCCCAGACUCCUACGGGAGGCAGCAGUGGGGAAUAUUGCGCAAUGGGCGAAAGCCCGACGCAGCGACGCCGCGUGAGGGAUGACGGCCUUCGGGUUGUAAACCUCUUUCAGCAGGGAAGAAGCGAAAGUGACGGUACCUGCAGAAGAAGCACCGGCUAACUACGUGCCAGCAGCCGCGGUAA